UCUGCUUCUCUACUCUCUUCAUCGCUCAUACCUCCAUCGUUAGGGUUCCUCACCACCGUGCUUCCAUCAUCAAACCACACCUUCCUUCUGCUCUGCUUCGUUUUCACCUCACCGUGCUUCAAUCAAUCAAACCACACCUUCCUUCUGCUGCUUCGUCUUCACCAUCGCUUCCAUCACUCAAGCUCGUGUGGGUUCUGCUUCUUCUUCACCGAGCCCGUCCGCUCCAGCGCGACUGCAUCCCACGGCGCGCCGCACCUUCCGCUGCCAUUAUCAAGUACGGGGACACUUCCCUUUGGAAGCAGAGGCAUAAUGACCAUGGGAUUGUCUUUCAUAUAAGGUGCUGGAUAUUCAUUAAUUCACUGCUGAAAUUGACUCCAAGUAACUUCCCAAAGGUGAAUGGAGGAAAGAAAUAGAAUCUGUUGUCGGCAAGUAAUAUAAGAAGGAAAGAUAGAGAGAGGACA